CAGCACCAUCAAAACAAAAACUAGAAUUGGAAUACCUGAAGUUUCGAAUAGUCAUCUCUGGGUUUUCCUUUCUAAUGAUAUAAAAGCACGUUUUUGCCUCAUUCAUGCCAUUAACCAGGGCGCGACCAUCUUCAGCAAAUAAAGGACCAAACGUCUGGGAAAUUUUGAGACUUGGAGCUUCUCCUGAAUAAAGGUUACCAAAGUAUUUUUAGGCAAGAAGAUGAGUAACUCAGGUGGCGGAAGUGGCUCGGGUGGUACUAAUGGGGGAGGUGGUGGCGGCGGCGGAGGCGGGGGUUUCGGAGGUGGCAAUGGGGGUGCCGGCGGCAGUGGAUCCAGCAAAAAGCAUUUAGCGAACCGUUUAUACGGAAUUUCUGCGGGUGGAAUGAUCACCAGGAUCAUCGAAACUCCUGUUGACUUCCGGUUUCCGCAGGAUGAAACCCCCAUGAGCAUGAAUCUGGACCCUUCUAACAUGAGCGUGAAUCUGGACCCUUUCUAACAUGAGUGUGACAUUUUACUCACGUAUGAUGCAAAUCGUCUACUUUUUAUAUUACUACAUGUUGUUUUAAGUUAAUUCGCACUAACUGUUUGACAAUACAAUAUGAUACAUUGAAAGAGGAACGGGUUAUUCAACAAAUAUGCAUAUACCUUUCUGUAAUGAUUAAUUUUGUUAAACAAAUAAAAUAUAAACUGACAUAAAUA